UGGGGAAUUUUGGACAAUGGGCGCAAGCCUGAUCCAGCCAUGCCGCGUGCGGGAAGAAGGCCUUCGGGUUGUAAACCGCUUUUGUCAGGGAAGAAAUCUUCUGAGUUAAUACCUCGGGAGGAUGACGGUACCUGAAGAAUAAGCACCGGCUAACUACGUGCCAGCAGCCGCGGUAAUACGUAGGGUGCAAGCGUUAAUCGGAAUUACUGGGCGUAAAGCGUGCGCAGGCGGUUUUGUAAGACAGAGGUGAAAUCCCCGGGCUCAACCUGGGAACUGCCUUUGUGACUGCAAGGCUUGAGUGCGGCAGAGGGGGAUGGAAUUCCGCGUGUAGCAGUGAAAUGCGUAGAUAUGCGGAGGAACACCGAUGGCGAAGGCAAUCCCCUGGGCCUGCACUGACGCUCAUGCACGAAAGCGUGGGGAGCAAACAGGAUUAGAUCCCUGGUAGUCCACGCCCUAAACGAUGUCAACUGGUUGUUGGGAAGGUUCCUUCUCAGUAACGUAGCUAACGCGUGAAGUUGACCGCCUGGGGAGUACGGCCGCAAGGUUGAAACUCAAAGGAAUUGACGGGGUCAUAGC
rnacentral:rRNA from 1 species